GCGUCAGUAGUGCAACGGUUCAGCAUGCGCCCCGGGACAGGGUGAAAUGUGGGUUCAAAUCACAUCUGACGCA